rnacentral:rRNA from 1 species
UACAGAGGGUGCAAGCGUUAAUCGGAAUUACUGGGCGUAAAGCGUGCGUAGACGGUUAUGUAAGUCGGGUGUGAAAGCCCCGGGCUCAACCUGGGAAUUGCAUUCGAGACUGCAUAGCUAGGGUGCGGAAGAGGGAAGCGGAAUUUCCGGUGUAGCGGUGAAAUUCGUAGAUAUCGGAAGGAACACCAGUGGCGAAAGCGGCUUCCUGGUCCAGCACCGACGUUCAGGCACGAAAGCGUGGGGAGCAAACAGG